rnacentral:rRNA from 1 species
GAUGAACGCUGGCGGCGUGCCUAAUACAUGCAAGUCGAGCGAACAGACGAGGAGCUUGCUCCUCUGACGUUAGCGGCGGACGGGUGAGUAACACGUGGAUAACCUACCUAUAAGACUGGGAUAACUUCGGGAAACCGGAGCUAAUACCGGAUAAUAUAUUGAACCGCAUGGUUCAAUAGUGAAAGACGGUUUUGCUGUCACUUAUAGAUGGAUCCGCGCCGCAUUAGCUAGUUGGUAAGGUAACGGCUUACCAAGGCGACGAUGCGUAGCCGACCUGAGAGGGCGAGAGGCAACAGUGGAACUGAGACACGGUGCAGAGACGUACGGGAGGCAGAAGGAGGGAAUCGUGAGCAAUGGGGGAAAGCCUGAAGGAGCAAUGCCGCGGGAGUGAUGAAGGUAUUAGGAGCGUAAAACUUUGUUAUUAGGGAAGAACAUAUGGGUAAGUAAAUGUGCAAAUCUGGAGGGUACCUAAUCGGAAAGCCACGGCUAACUACGUG